GACGAACGCUGGCGGCGUGCUUAACACAUGCGAGUCGAACGGAAAGGCCCUGCUUUUGUGGGGUGCUCGAGUGGCGAACGGGUGAGUAACACGUGAGUAACCUGCCCUUGACUUUGGGAUAACUUCAGGAAACUGGGGCUAAUACCGGAUAGGAGCUCCUGCUGCAUGGUGGGGGUUGGAAAGUUUCGGCGGUUGGGGAUGGACUCGCGGCUUAUCAGCUUGUUGGUGGGGUAGUGGCUUGCCAAGGCUUUGACGGGUAGCCGGCCUGAGAGGGUGACCGGCCCAAUGGGGAUUGGGAACAGCCCCAAAUCCCUCAGGGAGGGGAAAGGGGGGAAAAUUGCAAAAGGGGGGGAACCCUGAUGGAGGAACCCCGGGGGCGGAAGGAGGGCCUUCGGGGUGUAAACCCUUUUCGCCUGGAACAAAGCGUGGGGGGCGGGAUUGGGUAAAGAAGCACCGGCUAAUUACGU
rnacentral:rRNA from 1 species